ensembl:lncRNA
UAAAUGGAGGUGCUUACUGGUUGUAGAAUCCAAGAUUGUAUAGCAUGGCACUUUGCCAGUGGUUAUACAGUAUGUCUCUGAGGGGAAAAAGCUGUUUUUUUUUGUUGUUGUUGUUGUUUUUGUUUUUGUGAAGCAACAUUUGCAAAGGAAACAUGCUUAGAGACAGAUGCUUACUCAGAUUGAGCAGUUGAGAUGCUUGUGUAACAAUAUAAAACUCCAUAAUUACGGGAAGAAGGAGGCGGGAACCGGCGAACACUCAAAUAAAACUUUAAUAACCAAAAUAAACAUAAAACAGCGCGACAGCCCCUCCCGGUCGACUGCCGUGCACAAACAAAAAACCAUAGCACAAAAUAAAGCCCAGGCCUGGUCCUCUCUCGUCCUUCACUAUCGUCGAUUCUCUUUUGUAUCCUUCCAAACUCCUCCGUGGGACUCGAGACCGGUGAGUGGAGCAGGUGUCGCUCAUUUCCCAAUCACUCCAUCGGCCUCGCUCCGUUCCCACGGCUCUCGGCCCCGCCCCACUCGUCACAUACCCCCAUCGCCCCUCGCAGGCCGGGGGGUACUCCCGAGACUGCACUCUACUCCCCCCCCCCUCCCUCCGGGGGGGACCGCUCACGGUGACCUGCGGGAACCUGGGGUAAGGACAGACAGACGAGGCGAGAGAAAAGGAGAUGGAAGGAUGAGGAGCGACAGAGACGAGAGAGGGGAGAGAGGAGAAAAAAAAAAAAAUCCGGUUCCCAGACACACUGCCGCUCGGCCCUCCACCAGCUGGGUGAACUCCUCCGCGGUGCCUGGCGGUGGCACUGGAUGGCCCUCAGCGGACGGCACGACACUCCUCCGCCGCCCGGUGGACGACGACGGCUCCUCCGAUUUUGGGCAGCCGGCAGGAGUACCCCGUCCCCUGCUCCUCCUCAUACCUUCCGUUCGUCCGUCCCCGGCAACUCACUCCAGACCACCGCCUCGAGCGUCCACGGCGCCAGACUGCUACGCCCUGCUCGAUGGCACCACGGAUUCACCCCAGCGGCAAGGGAUCUUCGGCAGCGCGUCCCUCCUUCCUCCCGGGUUUCGGCACCAGUGUAACAAUAUAAAACUCCAUAAUUACGGGAAGAAGGAGGCGGGAACCGGCGAACACUCAAAUAAAACUUUAAUAACCAAAAUAAACAUAAAACAGCGCGACAGCCCCUCACGGUCGACUGAGGCGCACAAACAAAAAACCAAACCACAAAAUAAAGCCCAGGCCUGGUCCUCUCUUGUCCUUCACUAUCGUCAAUCCUCUUUUGUAUCCUUCCGAUCUCCUCCGUGGGACUCGAGACCGGUGAGUGGAGCAGGUGUCGCUCAUUUCCCAAUCACUCCACCGGCCUCGCUCCGUUCCCACGGCUCUCGGCCCCGCCCCACUCGUCACAUACCCCCAUCGCCCCUCGCAGGCCGGGGGGUACUCCCGAGACUGCACUCUACUCCCCCCCCCCUCCCUCCGGGGGGGACCGCUCACGGUGACCUGCGGGAACCUGGGGUAAGGACAGACAGACGAGGCGAGAGAAAAGGAGAUGGAAGGAUGAGGAGCGACAGAGACGAGAGAGGGGAGAGAGGAGAAAAAAAAAAAAAUCCGGUUCCCAGACACACUGCCGCUCGGCCCUCCACCAGCUGGGUGAACUCCUCCGCGGUGCCUGGCGGUGGCACUGGAUGGCCCUCAGCGGACGGCACGACACUCCUCCGCCGCCCGGUGGACGACGACGGCUCCUCCGAUUUUGGGCAGCCGGCAGGAGUACCCCGUCCCCUGCUCCUCCUCAUACCUUCCGUUCGUCCGUCCCCGGCAACUCACUCCAGACCACCGCCUCGAGCGUCCACGGCGCCAGACUGCUACGCCCUGCUCGAUGGCACCACGGAUUCACCCCAGCGGCAAGGGAUCUUCGGCAGCGCGUCCCUCCUUCCUCCCGGGUUUCGGCACCAGUGUAACAAUAUAAAACUCCAUAAUUACGGGAAGAAGGAGGCGGGAACCGGCGAACACUCAAAUAAAACUUUAAUAACCAAAAUAAACAUAAAACAGCGCGACAGCCCCUCCCGGUCGACUGCCGUGCACAAACAAAAAACCAUAGCACAAAAUAAAGCCCAGGCCUGGUCCUCUCUCGUCCUUCACUAUCGUCGAUUCUCUUUUGUAUCCUUCCAAACUCCUCCGUGGGACUCGAGACCGGUGAGUGGAGCAGGUGUCGCUCAUUUCCCAAUCACUCCAUCGGCCUCGCUCCGUUCCCACGGCUCUCGGCCCCGCCCCACUCGUCACAUACCCCCAUCGCCCCUCGCAGGCCGGGGGGUACUCCCGAGACUGCACUCUACUCCCCCCCCCCUCCCUCCGGGGGGGACCGCUCACGGUGACCUGCGGGAACCUGGGGUAAGGACAGACAGACGAGGCGAGAGAAAAGGAGAUGGAAGGAUGAGGAGCGACAGAGACGAGAGAGGGGAGAGAGGAGAAAAAAAAAAAAAUCCGGUUCCCAGACACACUGCCGCUCGGCCCUCCACCAGCUGGGUGAACUCCUCCGCGGUGCCUGGCGGUGGCACUGGAUGGCCCUCAGCGGACGGCACGACACUCCUCCGCCGCCCGGUGGACGACGACGGCUCCUCCGAUUUUGGGCAGCCGGCAGGAGUACCCCGUCCCCUGCUCCUCCUCAUACCUUCCGUUCGUCCGUCCCCGGCAACUCACUCCAGACCACCGCCUCGAGCGUCCACGGCGCCAGACUGCUACGCCCUGCUCGAUGGCACCACGGAUUCACCCCAGCGGCAAGGGAUCUUCGGCAGCGCGUCCCUCCUUCCUCCCGGGUUUCGGCACCAGUGUAACAAUAUAAAACUCCAUAAUUACGGGAAGAAGGAGGCGGGAACCGGCGAACACUCAAAUAAAACUUUAAUAACCAAAAUAAACAUAAAACAGCGCGACAGCCCCUCACGGUCGACUGAGGCGCACAAACAAAAAACCAAACCACAAAAUAAAGCCCAGGCCUGGUCCUCUCUUGUCCUUCACUAUCGUCAAUCCUCUUUUGUAUCCUUCCGAUCUCCUCCGUGGGACUCGAGACCGGUGAGUGGAGCAGGUGUCGCUCAUUUCCCAAUCACUCCACCGGCCUCGCUCCGUUCCCACGGCUCUCGGCCCCGCCCCACUACUCACAGCUUGUUAGUGUGUAGGCUUGUAACCUUAAUGUUAAGGUUUUAAAUUAAUUAAAAAAAAUUAAAUACUCUAUAGACACAUAGAUAAUUCAGUAGUAAUUAGCUCUGGCCUCUGAAUAUACCAUUGCAGACAAUGAAGAAGUUCAAUAUUCUACAAAUGUUUAAGCACUUUAACAUUCU